rnacentral:lncRNA from 1 species
AAGAAGCCAGAGCCAAAGGAGUCGCUCUGCAAUUUAUUCCAAUGGGUGGCUUUUAAGAAGCUGGCAAUUUGAGACGGCUGGGUGUUAUUUAGUGCAAUAUGAAAUCAAAUGAUCCUAUUUCUCAAAUAACAGUGUCCGUGAGGAGAAGCGAACGCUCUGAAAAGGGAUCCUGCGGCUCCCCCAGGCAGCCCGAGCUCCUCCUGCAGACGGACACGGCCCCGGCGCUGCUGCGGUGCCCAGAGAGAGGAUCUGGGCAACAACGCAGUACCAACUCGCCUUGGCACCAAGGAGCGGGCUCUGAAAGAGGCAGGGUGCUCCCAUGCAUAUGAACACUCUCAGGUGCAGUCUCCUGUCCUCCUGUAAUGACCCAAAGUGGUGUAAGAUCUGCACAGAAGGACAUCAGCAUUGUUUCAGUUGGAGCCACAGAAGUUAAAGCAGCGGUUGCACGGGGCACUCCGUGGUGUAAAGCAGGCAGAUGAUUUAAGGGACGGGGGAGCUCAGCACUGUCAAUCUACUUGUCCCUCUUCAGACAACAGCAGCCACUUCAAUGGAGACUAGAAGCUGCUGGUUAAUUCCUCGCGUCUACAUCUCAAACAGCAGUGACCGUGAAUCACUGAGACCCCAGAUCUCCCCGAUACCCUCUCAGACUCAUGGCCUUGGAGCAGCCAGAGAAGGGCUGGGCGUACAGGAUCCCUUCUGGUCCACUGACAACAACAUUACUAGAGACUUUCAAUGAUUUCAACAGGCUCUGGAUAAGGCCCUUACAUUCUCAAUAAACACUGUAUGGCUUUAAACACUGUAUUCUUGUUCUUAAGUUUGGUAUUAAAUCAGCUGUUAUCAGUGGCUCCUGCGUUAACAAGUUCUUG